rnacentral:rRNA from 1 species
UACGUAGGGGGCGAGCGUUGUCCGGAUUUAUUGGGCGUAAAGAGCUCGUAGGCGGUUUGGUAAGUUGGAUGUGAAAUCUCCAGGCUCAACUUGGAGGGGUCAUUCGAUACUGCCAUGACUAGAGUUCGGUAGGGGAGUGUGGAAUUCCUGGUGGAGCGGUGAAAUGCGCAGAUAUCAGGAGGAACACCCGUGGCGAAAGCGGCUCUCUGGGACGGUACUGACGCUGAGACGCGAAAGCGUGGGGAGCAAACAGG